AUCUAUUGGCCCUAAACUCUCUUCUUUCCGCAUCGUAUUACUCGCGUACCCAAUAUUACUUAGGCCUUUCUCUCUCUCUCCUCCCAUCACAUACUCUCCCCUCGCCUCCGCACUCGCCGCCUCUCCUUCACUCCUUCUAGGAACUUUGGAGAAUUAGGAUGCACACAAUCAUUUCUAGCUUUCAAUAUUGUUGCAACUACGUCUCGAUUGACUGCACACCUUAUAGCCCAUUCCGAGCUCUUCUAUGGUACCUUCUGUUGUAAUUGUCAGGAUUGCUAAUAUUUAUUUUAUUAAAAGAGGUGACUUCCUCUUCUUUCUUCGGUUUCUCCUAUGUUCUAUUCUUCUAUUUCUCCUCUACUUCGUCGAUUGAAGUUGCGGUGGUUGUGCGUCUGCGUGUGUUGUUGCUUAUGGCCAAUGGUGCGCCACCGAGUUGCUUCUCUUAUUGGGACCCUACAUAUGAAUCGAAGAGGAGAUAAUUGUUACAUAUUGACUCGUAAUGUAUGUAUGAGAAAAGAAUUUACAGGUUGAUAGGAUGCAUACUUCAUACGGAGGAGCUAGUAAUUAGUCAAGUAGUUGUUAUUUUAUUUUCUUUAUUUUCAUGGUUAUAUAGUCGUACAAUAAAGUUUAUUUCAAUAAAGAUAAGUUAUUUCCUCUGCA